GAUGAACGCUGGCGGCGUGCCUAAUACAUGCAGGUCGAGCGGAAGGACGAGAAGCUUGCUUCUCUGAUGUUAGCGGCGGACGGGUGAGUAACACGUGGAUAACCUACCUAUAAGACUGGGAUAACUUCGGGAAACCGGCGCUUAUACCGGAUGAUCUUUUGAACCGCAUGGUUCAAAAGUGACAGACGGUCUUUCUGUCACUUAUAGAUGGAUUUGAGCUGCAUUAGCUAGUUGGUAAGGUAACGGCUUACCAAGGCAACGAUGCAUAGCCGACCUCAGAGAGUGAUCGGCCACCCUGGAACUGGGACACGGACCAGGCUCCUACGGGACGCAGCAGUCUGGAAUCUUCCGCAAUGGUCGAAAACCUUACGGAGCAACGCCACGUGAGUUAUGAAGAUCUUCGGAUCGUAAAACCCUGUUUUUAGUGAUAAACAUAUGUGUACGUUACUGUGCCCAGCGUGACGGUACCGAGUCAGAAAGCCCCGGCUAACUACGUG
rnacentral:rRNA from 1 species